rnacentral:lncRNA from 1 species
UAGAAACAGAAGAAUAGAAUAAAAAGGGCCCUUUUCUCCUAUGUUACUGGCUUCAGGGAAUAUAUUUCAUACCAAGAAAAGGAAUGGAUAGAACUGAGAUCGUAGGAUUGACUGCUGCAGCGAACAUUGUUUAUGUGCCAACAUCCACAGUAUACAAAUGAUACGGCCAUGGGACCCGGAUGGAAAAUGCAGUGAGCACUAGGAGACAGUCCCCGGCCCCAGAGCUCGCAGCCUCUGGAAGCAAACACACAGCCCAGGUGAGAAAGCAAAGGUCCACAGAAGGAGAUGGCGUGCCCUGCCAAAUUCAGUUUUCCUCUGCUACAAGCCACAAUUCUAUAUACAAACCUCGGUAAAAGAAGAAAAGCAAUACUUCUCCUGCCUACUGCACAGACUUAUACUGAGUGAAGAGGUGAAUUUGCAGGAUGAAGCUAGAAAGGUAGGCCAAGACCCAUUAAAGAGGGAUUUUGUGUGUAUAUUAAGGAGUUUAGAGAUUAUCCCAACAAUGUAGGGCUCUGGUAAAAUAUUUUAAGCAAGAGAAUUACAGAAUUAGAUAUAUGUUUUAGAAAGAAGACCCUGGACCAGUAUAGAACAUGAAUUGGUUUAAGUCGUGACAGGAACAUGUUGUAAGGCAGUUAAAUAACCCUGAAGAGAAAUGAUGGUUUGAAU